rnacentral:lncRNA from 1 species
GUUCCUUCUUCCCAAGAUAGGAUUCCAAGGUGCCACCAAAACAUUUAGUGACAGAUUUUCCAGACAAUAUACAAACACCAAUCAUUUUCAUGUUUUACUCCACAAAUUUCAAAUUAUUUGGCACGGAAGUCGUGCCGAAAUACAGUGAGGUUUUGAGUAAACUUAUCCCUGUUUUUUGAGUCUAUACUUAGAGUAACGUCUGCCAUAAGUUUAUCAAAACAUAGAGAGAGCCGCUGAUGGUGAUCCAUUGGCUGCAAAAAAAGAAAAUCAGUCUGAGUUACACUGCAUAAUCAAUGUGGAAAAACUGAACCGCCAAUCAUUUUCAUGUUUUACUCCACAAAUUUCAAAUUAUUUGGCACGGAAGUCGUGCCGAAAUACAGUGAGGUUUUGAGUAAACUUAUCCCUGUUUUUUGAGUCUAUACUUAGAGUAACGUCUGCCAUAAGUUUAUCAAAACAUAGAGAGAGCCGCUGAUGGUGAUCCAUUGGCUGCAAAAAAAGAAAAUCAGUCUGAGUUACACUGCAUAAUCAUAGUGGAAAAACUGAACCGCUAUCGCCUUCUAUUAGCAAGGUAGACCUUGUUUAUUUUGUGAAAAUAUUGUAUUUUCAUUUUCUAAA